rnacentral:rRNA from 2 species
AUUGAACGCUGGCGGAAUGCUUUACACAUGCAAGUCGAACGGUAGAGGGGGCAACCCCUCGAGAGUGGCGAACGGGUGAGUAAUAUAUCGGAACGUGCCCAGUCGUGGGGGAUAACGUAGCGAAAGUUACGCUAAUACCGCAUACGAUCUACGGAUGAAAGCGGGGGAUCGCAAGACCUCGCGCGAUUGGAGCGGCCGAUAUCAGAUUAGGUAGUUGGUGGGGUAAAGGCUCACCAAGCCAACGAUCUGUAGCUGGUCUGAGAGGACGACCAGCCACACUGGAACUGAGACACGGUCCAGACUCCUACGGGAGGCAGCAGUGGGGAAUUUUGGACAAUGGACGCAAGUCUGAUCCAGCCAUUCCGCGUGCAGGAUGAAGGCCCUCGGGUUGUAAACUGCUUUUGUACGGAACGAAAAGGUUUCUAUUAAUACUAGGAGCUCAUGACGGUACCGUAAGAAUAAGCACCGGCUAACUACGUGCCAGCAGCCGCGGUAAUACGUAGGGUGCAAGCGUUAAUCGGAAUUACUGGGCGUAAAGCGUGCGCAGGCGGUUAUGUAAGACAGAGGUGAAAUCCCCGGGCUCAACCUGGGAACUGCCUUUGUGACUGCAUAGCUAGAGUACGGUAGAGGGGGAUGGAAUUCCGCGUGUAGCAGUGAAAUGCGUAGAUAUGCGGAGGAACACCGAUGGCGAAGGCAAUCCCCUGGACCUGUACUGACGCUCAUGCACGAAAGCGUGGGGAGCAAACAGGAUUAGAUACCCUGGUAGUCCACGCCCUAAACGAUGUCAACUGGUUGUUGGGUCUUCACUGACUCAGUAACGAAGCUAACGCGUGAAGUUGACCGCCUGGGGAGUACGGCCGCAAGGUUG